rnacentral:rRNA from 1 species
UACGAAGGGGGCUAGCGUUGCUCGGAAUCACUGGGCGUAAAGCGCACGUAGGCGGAUUGCUAAGUCAGGGGUGAAAUCCUGGAGCUCAACUCCAGAACUGCCUUUGAUACUGGCAAUCUAGAGACUGGAAGAGGUUAGUGGAAUUCCUGGUGUAGCGGUGGAAUGCGCAGAUAUCAGGAGGAACACCGGUGGCGAAGGCGGUUCUCUGGGCCUGUUCUGACGCUGGAGGAGCGAAAGCAUGGGGAGCGAACAGG